GGGAGGCCCAGGUGAAAGGAGCUGGAGGAGAGGAAGCACUGCUGAACCCCAAGUUGUCCCCACUGCUGGAAGAUGGUCUUGGCUAUAUCAGGGUGACGGGACCACUUGCGGUGAGAGGAGAAAGAUCUGCUGAGGUGAUCUUCCAGAUUGAUCUGGGCUCCUGGAAGGUCUUGGCAUGGCAACGGAGCCAAGAACCAGAUCCGUUGUUGAGGCCUCAAGUGUUUCCUCGAAGGCGCCAGGGCAUAGAGAUCCAGGCACAUGAAGAUGGCUCUAGAAUCCUUUAGGCCAUGAAGCUUUGCAUCAGUUUGUUUGGAGAACAACAAAGUGCCUUCCAACAGAAGGUCCUGGAUGGACUAUUGGACCUCCAUUGGCAGACCUGAGAAUUGGAGCCAAAAGCCUCUGUGCAUGACCACCGCAGAAGCCAUGGAUCUAGUCACCAAAUCUGUUGCAGCCAGGGAGGCCUGUAGUGACGUCCUGGCCACAGACUUUCCUUCCUCUAACAAAACGGAGAACUCCUGUCUUGACUCCUGGGGAAGAGAGUCCUUGAACUUCAUCACUGAUUCCCAGACAUUAAAUUGCAUCUCACCAGCAACACCUGCUGGUUGGAAAUGCUGAGUUCUGGAUCCCCUGUAGCAUGAACCUUUCUGCCAAAAAGGUCUAGUCUCCUUGCAUCUUUUGCUUUGAGGGUCAUUCCUUUCUGGCCCUGUCUGUCCCUCUCAUUGGCCUCUGAGACCACCAGGGACCCCAGAGGGUGAAAGGAGUACAAUUACUCAAAGCUUUGAGCUGGACAAAAGUACUUCUUUUCAGCCCUUUUUGUGGUGGGAGGCAGGGAGGAUGGGGUUUGUCAUAGGGCUUUAAUAGAUCCCAUAAUGCCCUCAUUGAGGGAGGGCCACCUUUGAUGGGCCCACAGCAGUCAAGAUGUUGACCAUACAUUUGUAAACUUUAAAUCCUGUUCAUUUUCCACUUAUCUUUAGUUUAGGAGCCUUGUUAAUUUUCAAUUUUGCCUGGAUGAUUCUGAAAUAAUUAGACUUUUGUGGCACAUUAUGUAUAGAGACAUAAAGAUUUAAUAACAAAUAAAAGUAAUACUAUUUUAUAAUAAAACAGUAUUGUUAAAUAAUAUAAUUUCAUCAGAAAGAGGGGUAGAAAUUCAUUGUUUAGGCAUACGCCGUGCAUAUGUUUCAUCAAUAGCAAAAGGUCGGGUAUAUUAUCUCCUAAUGGACUUAGUUUUCUCUACAGCUAUUGUAUUGUUUCUGGUUUCACAAAUGUAAUCUGUGAAAGCCCUGUCUGCACAGCAGUUACUUGCACGAGCAAUUUAUCAUUUUUGACAGAGUUAGUCACUCUGCUGGAACUGAUAGAGCUAUGAACCCUCCCCAUGAUCCAGUUAAACAUGUUUUUCACAUACUGAACCCUUUUCCUGUUGGUCCUCCUCUCCUCUGUACCUGCUGUGCCAUUGUUCUUGAAUUUCUUCUCCACUGGAGUAAAUGGAAUGAUAGGAAGUACUUUGGUAAGUCCAGAUGCACAGCAGACGUGUUAUUCCUCAAUGUAUCUGCAAUGCUCAGCAGCAAUUAAAGCAGCCUGGUACUAAAAAGAACAGUGCCUUCCUCAUUGUUGCUCUUGUUUAUUUUGCAUUAGUGACAAAUGAAUUCAAUCAAUUCCUUUUUUUCUCCCUAUCCCAUCCUUUUAAAAAAAAAACAAAAAACUUCCAAUUGAUUUGCCUUGUUUUAUGCUGGACAUGACACAAAAGCAACAAUUCUUUUAUAUCUGUUUAAAAAAUAAACCAGUUCCGAUGCCUGUCCUCCAGGGUGGUAUAUUAUAAUUUAAGAAAUACUUAGUGAAUGGCACCUCUAAUCCAUAACUCCCUUUGCUGACUUAUUCUUUGAGGUUGAGGAAACCUGGCUUACAAAUAAGGGUUAAUAACUGCCUUUUACAGCCAAAAUAAAAAAAUGUUUUCAAGAGUCUAAUGAUGUUUCUGUGCUGCACAAUAGGGUUCCAGUAAAGCUGGUUGACCAAACCAUAUUCCUGGUGUGACGGACCCAGACCAGUUGAGUGUCUGGUAGAAGACAAAUAUACUGGCCACUGGAUGAAGUUUUCUGUUCCCUGAGUGACCAGAGCAUGGGCUGCCCUACAGCAAUCAUUUGUGACCUGACAGCCAAAGAAGGGUUCUUAGUGAUAAAAUGCACUUCAUCCAUUAAUUGACAAUCCAGAAAUCCACAUUAUCACAAGAAAAUAUAUUUCUUAUUGCCAGAAGGAAAUUCAACUGACCACCAGCAAGAGCAGCCAUCUAUUAGACUCUGAACACAGUAUUCCUCACUCCAAUUUCAUACUGUCACAGACAUUUGCAGCAGCAGAAUCACAUGGCUAUUGUGUAGCUGUGAUGCUGCUUAGAAGGACUUCCAUCUUGAAUGGUCCCUUGCAAGUCUUCCCUUGGCACGAGUCAGCAUGGGGGGAUUUAGGCCCAGCAACCAUGUUUUUGCUCUGUACAACAGAGUAAUCAUCACUGUCAUGUUGGAUACUCAUAACAGAGGCCUUUGUAAAGGCUGAAAAGGCAUUGAUGCUCAACCUAUCUGAGACUUCUUUGGUUAUAGAACCUCCUACUGUCAAUUGACUACCCAGAUAGAUGAAGUUAUUCACACAUUCAAUAUCAUUGCCAUCUAGAUAGAAUGUUGGCAGGUCAAUCAUUUCCAAUUUGUGGGAGGCAUGCUCAACUUUGGUUUUAUCUUAAAUCCCAUAAAGGACCAUUGCUGUAGUUGGUCUAUAGUCUCGCCAAGUAAGGCAAUAUCAUUCACAUAUUCAAAAUCCUGUAAAGACGAAUCUUUCAAUUUCAUACCUACUUUGGCCUGAAACAGCUUUGUCAUCAGAUAAUCUAUUAGAACAUUAAAUAAUAUAGGUGAGAGAAUGAAUCCCUGGCAUACUUUGAUUUUACUAAAACCAGUCUGUAAUACAAGCAUUGACCCUCACACAGCUAAAUAUGUCAGGGUAUAGUUCCUCCACUAUUCACACAAAGUCUUCUGUCAUCCCAUACUGGUGUAGAACUAUCUCUAGUGCUGAUUGAUGCACUGAGUCAAAAGUGGCUGCAAAGUCUACAAACACAAUGUUAACUUCCUUUUGUCAAUCUAGUAGUUUCUCAGUAACAUUGCACAGAUCAUAUAUAGUAGGGAUUGUAGAUCAACCUGUACGGACGCCAUUUGGGAUGUCUCUGACCUUUGGAUUGAGACAGUAUUUCAGUCUGUUCACAGUAGUAUGAUUGCAAACAUCUGCCCUGGGAUGGACAGCAGCAUUAUUCCCCUAUAGAUACCUACAUAUAACAAAAUCCAAUCACUGGAAGUUGAAACUAGGCAAACUCAGACUGUAAAUAAAGGUGUAAAAUGUUCAUGGUGAGAGUAAUUAACCACUGGAACAAUUUACCAAGGACUGUGAUGGAUUCUCCAUCGUUGACAAUUUUUAAAUCAAGAUUUAAAAAUAUAUAUAUAUUCUCUAGGAAUGAUUUUGUCAGUUCUAGGUCCUGUGCUAUACAGGAGGUUUGACUAGAUGAUCACAAUUGUUGCUUCUGGCCUUAGAAUAUGUGAAUCUUUGAUUCUAUAAUUAUAGCAAUUUGAUCACUUUUUUUUUUUUUUUUUUUUUAAACAGGGAUGUUACAACCCCUUCUCCAAAUUUCUGGAAUGUGACCUGUUUCCUAAACUUUUAGGAUGACUCUAUGGAAGAGUGAACUAAAUACAGGGAUCCCUUCUUAAGCAGAAAUACAUAUAGGAGGCCAAUUAAACAUCCUUUAAUCAGGGCAGGAUUGUUCCCCAGAGUAAUAGGCUCUUGUGCUUUAACAAAUCAACUUUAAAAAAAAUAACACUGGGGUUUCCACAGGUUCCAUUGGUAAAUUAUUCUGUGUUGUAAUAGAUACUUGAUUUUUUUUUUUACUGUUAGAGCAAAAAUUCUUCCCAUCACUUCCAGUUAUAACCUCUGGCUCCACAAAUAAUUCUGAUUCCUCCUUGGUGUUUACACUCUUCAAAUGCUAGGGUGUUUGUAAUUCUCUUUUGGUCUAGAUACACUCUGCAUGAUUGUAUGUACAAUCUGCCCAGAGGAAGGGGCAGAGCACAGAUGUGUUGCCACAUGAGCAGACCACAAAUUGUCUUCAGUUAUUUAGCAAAGCCAUAUGUAUAUAGUUAUUUUAAUCUCUAAUUAUGUCUUUCCAUCCAGCCUCUAAAUCAUUAUUUUACAUUAUAUGUGGUUUCACUGACAAAAUACAGAGAAGUAUCAUCAUCAGCCUGGUCAGUCAUGUGAAGCGCUUGCAAAUGGUGCUGAAAAGUGGCUUGAUAUUUUGCUGUUAUACCAUAUUGCAAUUGUGAUGUUGGCAGACCGGGUGCCAGCUCAUGCCAAGGCCCGGGGCUUCACUGAACACUGACAAAUGCACAGCUGGAAACCAGUCUAGCUUACUUUGGGGUUUGUAUAGUUAAAAUAGAUAUUAGUGUUAUAAGGAUGUGUUUAGUCUUUAGACUUUAGUGAAUGUUUGUAGGACACUGCAUGUAUUAAUCCUACUUAUAAUAUCAGUAUUCCAUAGUACAAAGUUAUGCUGAGUGUUCGCAUUGUAAACCUCUGUAAUUCUGUAACUCACAAAACAGGAAAAGAAGCAUUAAUUAAGGUAAAGUGCUCGCCCUGCAUGCAAAAUGUCCUGUUGGAGGCAAAUGAGGCAGUCUGCAUCAUCAAAGGACAGAGAGCUUGUCGACUGCAUUCUUCUCUCCCUCCAUAAAUGGGGGGGUUGUACAUGAAUUCAUCCAAUCAACUUGGAUUCUGGGGUGUAGGGGAUAAAAAUCUCUGACAAGGAGAACCUGGGUCUCUUUAUUCUGUAUGGACUCUGGGGGGAAAGAUUCCUGAACAUAAGCAAGUAAUAUGCUGCUUGGCAUGCAUCAGCGCGAAAGGAUGUAAAGGGUUUCUUAUUAUAGAAGCUUAUAUCACCUUUUUAAAUGUAAGACUAUAACUCAUUUGUGUGUGUGUAGAUUUCCUGUUUUAACCUUGUAAAUAACUCUCAUUUAUUUUCUUAGUUAAUAAAUCUUUAGUUAGUUUGUU